rnacentral:rRNA from 1 species
GACGAACGCUGGCGGCGUGCUUAACACAUGCAAGUCGAACGGUGAAGCUCCAGCUUGCUGGAGUGGAUCAGUGGCGAACGGGUGAGUAACACGUGAGCAACCUGCCCCUGACUCUGGAAUAAGCGCUGGAAACGGCGUCUAAUACUGGAUACGAGAAGGGUCCGCAUGGGCACUUUCUGGAAAGCUUUUCGGUUGGGGAUGGGCUCGCGGCCUAUCAGCUUGUUGGUGAGGUAAUGGCUCACCAAGGCGACGACGGGUAGCCGGCCUGAGAGGGCGACCGGCCACACUGGGACUGAGACACGGCCCAGACUCCUACGGGAGGCAGCAGUGGGGAAUAUUGCACAAUGGGCGCAAGCCUGAUGCAGCGACGCCGCGUGAGGGAUGACGGCCUUCGGGUUGUAAACCUCUUUCAGCAGAGAAGAAGCGAAAGUGACGGUACCUGCAGAAGAAGCACCGGCUAACUACGUG